UAGGGAAUCUUCCGCAAUGGACGAAAGUCUGACGGAGCAACGCCGCGUGAGUGAAGAAGGAUUUCGGUUCGUAAAACUCUGUUGUUAGGGAAGAAAAAAUGUAUAGUAACUAUAUACAAAAGAGACGGUACCUAACCAGAAAGCCACGGCUAACUACGUGCCAGCAGCCGCGGUAAUACGUAGGUGGCAAGCGUUGUCCGGAAUUAUUGGGCGUAAAGCGCGCGCAGGUGGUUUAGAAAGUCUGAUGUGAAAGCCCACGGCUCAACCGUGGAGGGUCAUUUGAAACUAAUAAACUUGAGUACAGGAGAGAAAAGUGGAAUUCCUAGUGUAGCGGUGAAAUGCGUAGAGAUUAGGAGGAACACCGGUGGCGAAAGCGGCUUUUUGGCCUGCAACUGACACUGAGGCGCGAAAGCGUGGGGAGCAAACAGG
rnacentral:rRNA from 1 species